UAAAAACAUAUGAAACAAUAGGAGAUAUAUCAAGUACUCCAUAAAUAUCUCUUCAAUGAAGGAAAAGUUAGUAAACCUCUUUUUAAAAGUAUUGUGAAGAUUAACUGUGAUAGAUUUGGAAACACUUUAUAAAUUCUUUUAAACUGCUAAUUGAUAUCACUUUUAGGCUAAUUGUGAUCCAGGUUAUGUUUACUACUCUUAGAGGUUAUGAAAAUAGGAAUAGUAUUUGAUCUUGAAAAAUAUAUGUAUUUCUAAAAAAUUCUUAUUUACUGUAUCCCCUCCUAGAUAUCUUCCACAGGUUUUAACAUAUCAGUUUGAAUAAGGCACAGAAUUAAAACAAUGUACUCCUUCAUGGGUGUUUCCAAAGAUGAAAUCCUUGGAGAAGAAUACCCUUCCUUCUGUGGUGAAAUAGCAUCGGCUUGGAAGACAGGCAAACUUGAAAGCAAAUUCCAGUUUUUCCAAUUAAAUAUAUAAGCAUAGACAUUUAUUACACUUUAUUAGCAUUAAGUUGCCCUUUCAAAAUUGAAAAUGAUAAUGUCUAUCCUGUGGGGAGGAUCAGAAAUUCCAUAGGUACAGAACAAGAGUCAAUAAAAAAUUCAUAGCUUUCA
rnacentral:lncRNA from 1 species